CAAGCGUUACUGAGAAUCACUGGGUUUAAAGGGUGCGUAGGCGGGGCUUUAAGUCAGGGGUGAAAUCCUGGAGCUCAACUCCAGAACUGCCUUUGAUACUGAGGAUCUUGAGUUCGGGAGAGGUGAGUGGAACUGCGAGUGUAGAGGUGAAAUUCGUAGAUAUUCGCAAGAACACCAGUGGCGAAGGCGGCUCACUGGCCCGAUACUGACGCUGAGGCACGAAAGCGUGGGGAGCAAACAGG
rnacentral:rRNA from 1 species